rnacentral:rRNA from 1 species
UGUUGAGGAAGAUAAUGACGGUACUCAACAAGGAAGUGACGGCUAACUACGUGCCAGCAGCCGCGGUAAAACGUAGGUCACAAGCGUUGUCCGGAAUUACUGGGUGUAAAGGGAGCGCAGGCGGGAAGACAAGUUGGAAGUGAAAUCCAUGGGCUCAACCCAUGAACUGCUUUCAAAACUGUUUUUCUUGAGUAGUGCAGAGGUAGGCGGAAUUCCCGGUGUAGCGGUGGAAUGCGUAGAUAUCGGGAGGAACACCAGUGGCGAAGGCGGCCUACUGGGCACCAACUGACGCUGAGGCUCGAAAGUGUGGGUAGCAAACAGGAUUAGAUACCCUGGUAGUCCACACUGUAAACGAUGAUUACUAGGUGUUGGAGGAUUGACCCCUUCAGUGCCGCAGUUAACACAAUAAGUAAUCCACCUGGGGAGUACGACCGCAAGGUUGAAACUCAAAGGAAUUGACGGGGGCCCGCACAAGCAGUGGAGUAUGUGGUUUAAUUCGACGCAACGCGAAGAACCUUACCAAGUCUUGACAUCCCUUGACGAUGCUGGAAACAGUAUUUCUCUUCGGAGCAAGGAGACAGGUGGUGCAUGGUUGUCGUCAGCUCGUGUCGUGAGAUGUUGGGUUAAGUCCCGCAACGAGCGCAACCCUUAUGGUCAGUUACUACGCAAGAGGACUCUGGCCGGACUGCCGUUGACAAA